GAUGAAGAACGUAGCGAAAUGCGAUAAGUAAUGUGAAUUGCAGAAUUCAGUGAAUCAUCGAAUCUUUGAACGCACCUUGCGCUCCUUGGCAUUCCGAGGAGCAUGCCUGUUUGAGUGUCAUUAAAUUCUCAAGACCUGUCUGCUUUUUUGAUAGGUAUUGGAUUUUGGGGGUUGCAGGCUGUUUCAAAUAAAUAGCCUUGCUCUCCUUGAAUGUAUUAGUGGAGAAAAGCCAUUGAACUCCAUUGGUGUGAUAAAACCUAUCAAUGCCAGGAGCAAUAUCACUACUUCUCUCUGCUGUCUAACUGUGACUGUCUGUAUUAAUUAGUAUGGAUGGGGACAAAUUGACCAACUUGACCUCAAAUCAGGUAGGACUACCCGCUGAACUUAAGCAUAUCAAUAAGCGGAGGA
rnacentral:misc_RNA from 1 species